rnacentral:lncRNA from 13 species
AUCGAAAAUCCUCUUGCGAAGAGAUUUAGGUACAUAAGGACGAAUUAGUUCAGAGGAACAAUCACAAUAAAUAGGAGAAGUUGAACCAGAAAGAAUAAGUUUCCUUAACUGAAGAGAAGAGUUCGAAGAAAAGACGCUCCAACAGCAAAAUUAGAAGCAUCACAAGUUAAAAUCAAAGGAACAUGUGGAGCAGGAUGAGAAAGAGUAGUAACUCGGAGAAGUUCUUCUUUACAAUUUUGAAAGGCUGUUUCAGUUUCAUUAUUCCAAGGGAUAACUCUUCUAUCUCUCUUGCGACUAUCCUUUAAAAAUUCAGUUUAAUACCUUGAUCUGAAACUAGGUAUCCAAGGAAAGAAAGUUCUUUUUGUCCAAAAAGACAUUUGGAUACAUUAAUUGACAUUCCGGCUUGUAAUAAACGAUUAAAAAUAAUGCGCAAAUGGGCAAUAUGUUCUUGUUCAUUUUUGGAAGCUAUAAGAAUGUCGUCAAGAUAG